UACGGGGGGAGCAAGCGUUGUUCGGAUUUACUGGGCGUACAGGGAGCGUAGGCGGUUGGAUAAGCCCUCCGUGAAAUCUCCAGGCUUAACCUGGAAAGUGCAGAGGGGACUGUUCAGCUAGAGGAUGGGAGAGGAGCGCGGAAUUCCCGGUGUAGCGGUGAAAUGCGUAGAGAUCGGGAAGAACACCAGUGGCGAAGGCGGUCUGCUGGGCAGUGGGAUCGAAAGGUCCCUUUAACCGACACUGAGGCGCGACAGCGUGGGGAGCAAACAGG
rnacentral:rRNA from 1 species